AGCAAUGCCACUUCUGGGUAUACACCCAAAAGAACUAAAAGCAGGGACUUAAACACAUAUUUGCACACCAGUGUUCAUAGCAACAUUACAAUAGUGAGAAAAA